UUUAUGGAGAGUUUGAUCCUGGCUCAGAGUGAACGCUGGCGGCGUGCCUAAUACAUGCAAGUCGAACGAUGAAGCUUCUAGCUUGCUAGAAUGCUGAUUAGUGGCGCACGGGUGAGUAACGCAUAGGUCAUGUGCCUCUUAGUUUGGGAUAGCCAUUGGAAACGAUGAUUAAUACCAGAUACUCCCUACGGGGGAAAGAUUUAUCGCUAAGAGAUCAGCCUAUGUCCUAUCAGCUUGUUGGUAAGGUAAUAGCUUACCAAGGCUAUGACGGGUAUCCGGCCUGAGAGGGUGAACGGACACACUGGAACUGAGACACGGUCCAGACUCCUACGGGAGGCAGCAGUAGGGAAUAUUGCUCAAUGGGGGAAACCCUGAAGCAGCAACGCCGCGUGGAGGAUGAAGGUUUUAGGAUUGUAAACUCCUUUUGUUAGAGAAGAUAAUGACGGUAUCUAACGAAUAAGCACCGGCUAACUCCGUGCCAGCAGCCGCGGUAAUACGGAGGGUGCAAGCGUUACUCGGAAUCACUGGGCGUAAAGAGCGCGUAGGCGGGAUAGUCAGUCAGGUGUGAAAUCCUAUGGCUUAACCAUAGAACUGCAUUUGAAACUACUAUUCUAGAGUGUGGGAGAGGUAGGUGGAAUUCUUGGUGUAGGGGUAAAAUCCGUAGAGAUCAAGAGGAAUACUCAUUGCGAAGGCGACCUGCUGGAACAUUACUGACGCUGAUUGUGCGAAAGCGUGGGGAGCAAACAGGAUUAGAUACCCUGGUAGUCCACGCCCUAAACGAUGGAUGCUAGUUGUUGGAGGGCUUAGUCUCUCCAGUAAUGCAGCUAACGCAUUAAGCAUCCCGCCUGGGGAGUACGGUCGCAAGAUUAAAACUCAAAGGAAUAGACGGGGACCCGCACAAGCGGUGGAGCAUGUGGUUUAAUUCGAAGAUACACGAAGAACCUUACCUAGGCUUGACAUUGAGAGAAUCCGCUAGAAAUAGUGGAGUGUCUGGCUUGCCAGACCUUGAAAACAGGUGCUGCACGGCUGUCGUCAGCUCGUGUCGUGAGAUGUUGGGUUAAGUCCCGCAACGAGCGCAACCCCCUUUCUUAGUUGCUAACAGGUCAUGCUGAGAACUCUAAGGAUACUGCCUCCGUAAGGAGGAGGAAGGUGGGGACGACGUCAAGUCAUCAUGGCCCUUACGCCUAGGGCUACACACGUGCUACAAUGGGGUGCACAAAGAGAAGCAAUACUGCGAAGUGGAGCCAAUCUUCAAAACACCUCUCAGUUCGGAUUGUAGGCUGCAACUCGCCUGCAUGAAGCUGGAAUCGCUAGUAAUCGCAAAUCAGCCAUGUUGCGGUGAAUACGUUCCCGGGUCUUGUACUCACCGCCCGUCACACCAUGGGAGUUGUGUUUGCCUUAAGUCAGGAUGCUAAAUUGGCUACUGCCCACGGCACACACAGCGACUGGGGUGAAGUCGUAACAAGGUAACCGUAGGUGAACCUGCGGUUGGAUCACCUCCUUUCUAGA
rnacentral:rRNA from 1 species